UACGUAGGGUGCGAGCGUUGUCCGGAAUUAUUGGGCGUAAAGAGCUUGUAGGUGGUUUGUCGCGUCUGCUGUGAAAAUCCGAGGCUCAACCUCGGACUUGCAGUGGGUACGGGCAGACUAGAGUGUGGUAGGGGAGAGUGGAAUUCCUGGUGUAGCGGUGAAAUGCGCAGAUAUCAGGAAGAACACCCGUGGCGAAAGCGGCUCUCUGGAACGGUACUGACGCUGAGACGCGAAAGCGUGGGGAGCGAACAGG
rnacentral:rRNA from 1 species